CGGCACGGGUGAGUAACGCGUAUGCAACCUACCUACUACAGGGGAAUAGCCCGAAGAAAUUCGGAUUAAUGCCGCAUAAUACAGGGGCACCGCAUGGUGAUAUUUGUUAAAGAUUAAUUGGUAGUAGAUGGGCAUGCGUUCCAUUAGCCAGUUGGUGAGGUAACGGCUCACCAAAGCAACGAUGGAUAGGGGAACUGAGAGGUUUAUCCCCCACACUGGUACUGAGACACGGACCAG
rnacentral:rRNA from 1 species